rnacentral:tRNA from 1 species
GUCCAGCUAGUUCGGUCGGUAGAGCAUGGAACUCUUAAUCCCAGGGUCGUGGGUUCCAGCCCCACGUCGGGCG